rnacentral:misc_RNA from 1 species
CUCGAUUCCUCGAUACUUUUCCCAAAAGGUACUCCUUGAAGAUCUCCUUCCAUUUCUGUUCGUUUUAGGUGUCUGUAGAUUUUUCUUUGUUUUUAAUAAUUUCUUCUGGGGAGGAAGUGGUAGAAAAUUACGCAAAUUUACUUAAUAAUAAUUAUUAAUAAUUAUAAGGUAGCUGAGAUAUUUGAUGGAUUUGAUGGUUUUGAUUAUGUGUUUUCCACCUGUGUUUGGUGGAUUCCGGGAGAUUCUUGGGUUGGGGUUAGAUAUAGUGUUUCUUUAGCGUUUUAGAAGUCUCUCUUUCUCUCUCCUCUUAGGUAGAGAUUGAAGAGAGUUUUUCUUUUUCUUUCCUUUUUUUUUUGUUAAUUUUUAUACUUUUAUAGUUGUGUACCGGCUAAAAUUGUUUUUCUUCUUUUGCUUUUUUUUUUUAGUUAAUAAAUUAAAGUUGGG